rnacentral:rRNA from 1 species
UACGUAGGUGGCAAGCGUUUGUCCGGAUUUACUGGGCGUAAAGAGCGCGCAGGCGGUCGUUCAAGUCGCGUGUGAAAGCCCCCGGCUCAACUGGGGAGGGUCACGCGAUACUGAUCGACUCGAAGGCAGGAGAGGGUAGUGGAAUUCCCGGUGUAGUGGUGAAAUGCGUAGAGAUCGGGAGGAACACCCGUGGCGAAGGCGGCCACCUGGGCCGACCCUGACGCUGAGGCGCGAAGGCGUGGGGAGCAAACAGG